GAUGAACGCUAGCGGGAGGCUUAACACAUGCAAGUCGAGGGGCAGCAUAGGGUAGUAAUACUCUGAUGGCGACCGGCAAACGGGUGAGUAACGCGUAUGCAACCUACCCUGUACAGGGGGAUAACCCGGAGAAAUUCGGACUAAUAUCCCGUAAUAAUAUCCGGAGGCAUCUUUGGAUAUUUAAAGUUCCGACGGUACGGGAUGGGCAUGCGUAACAUUAACUGGUUGGUAAGGUAACGGCUUACCAAGGCUAUGAUGUUUAGGGGUCCUGAGAGGGUGGUCCCCCACACUGGUACUGAGACACGGACCAGACUCCUACGGGAGGCAGCAGUGAGGAAUAUUGGUCAAUGGGCGCAAGCCUGAACCAGCCAUCCCGCGUGCAGGAAGACGGCCCUAUGGGUUGUAAACUGCUUUUCCAGGGAGAGAAACUUACGCACGUGUUGCGUGACUGACGGUACCCUGGGAAUAAGCAUCGGCUAACUCCGUG
rnacentral:rRNA from 1 species